CCCUUAGAUGUUCUGAACCGCACGCGUGUUACACUGAUGCAUUCAACGAGCUUUACCUUGGCCGAGAGGCCUGGGAAAUCUUUUUAGCAUGCAUCGUGAUAGGGAUUGAUUAUUGCAAUUAUUAAUCAUGAACGAGGAAUUCCUAGUAAACGCAUUUCAUCAAAAUGCAUUGAUUACGUCCCUGCCCUUUGUACACACCGCCCGUCGCUCCUACCGAUUGAAUGGUCCGGUGAAGCGUUUGGACUAUGGUUUUCUGACGGUUCGCCAUUGGAUUACCGUGGGAAAUUCGUUAAACCUUAUCAUUUAGAGGAAGGAGAAGUCGUAACA
rnacentral:rRNA from 1 species